rnacentral:rRNA from 1 species
UUGACGGGGCCCGCACAAGCGGUGGAGUAUGUGGUUUAAUUCGAUGCAACGCGAAGAACCUUACCUGGUCUUGACAUCCCGGAGACCCUUAGGAAACUAGGGGUGCUUCCAUCUGGAAGAAUCUGGAGACAGGUGCUGCAUGGCUGUCGUCAGCUCGUGUCGUGAGAUGUUGGGUUAAGUCCCGCAACGAGCGCAACCCUUGCCUUUAGUUGCCAGCAGUUCGGCUGGGCACUCUAAAGGGACUGCCGGUGUUAAACCGGAGGAAGGUGGGGAUGACGUCAAGUCCUCAUGGCCUUUAUGACCAGGGCUACACACGUACUACAAUGGCCGAUACAAAGGGCAGCGACACUGCGAGGUGAAGCCAAUCCCAUAAAAUCGGUCUCAGUCCGGAUUGGAGUCUGCAACUCGACUCCAUGAAGUUGGAAUCGCUAGUAAUCGUGGAUCAGCAUGCCACGGUGAAUACGUUCCCGGGCCUU